rnacentral:rRNA from 1 species
CCAUCAGCUAAGGUCCCAUAAUCACAGUUAAGUGGGAAAGGAUGUGGGUUUGCUAAGACAACUAGGAUGUUGGCUUAGAAGCAGCCACUCAUUUAAAGAGUGCGUAAUAGCUCACUAGUCGAGUGAGCCUGCGCCGAAAAUUACCGGGGCUAAACUGUGUACCGAAGCUAUGGAUCAGCGUGCAUCCAAUAGUAUCGCCAAGCAAGAAGCAAGAGCUAGGAGAUAGUAUUGGAUGCACGAGGGUGGUAGGGGAGCUUACUGCAGUAGGUUGAAGCAAGAUCGAAAGGACUUGUGGACGAGACAGUAGUGAGAAUGCCGGAAUAAGUAGCGAAAGUAAAGUGAGAAUCUUUACCGUCGAAAGCCUAAGGUUUCCUGGGGAAGGUUCGUCCGCCCAGGGUAAGUCUGGACCUAAGCCGAGGCCGCGAGGCGUAGGUGAUGGAUAACAGGUUGAAAUUCCUGUACUACCGUUACUCGAUAUGAGAGAGGUGGGGACGCAGGAGGAUAAGUCAAGCGAUCAGCUGGAAAAGAUCGUGCAAGCGAGGUAGAUAGUCCGGCAGGCAAAUCCGCCGGAUGUUUCGAAGACGUGAUGCGGAGGGAAAAUAGAGUACUGAAGUGACAGAUUCCACACUGACGAGAAAAACCACUAUCCAGAGUAAAGGUACCAGUACCGCAAACCGACACAGGUAGGUGAGGAGAGAAUCCUAAGACGAGCGGGAGAAGCGUUGUUAAGGAACUCGGCAAAUUGACCCCGUAAGUUAGCGAAAAGGGGUGCCUCUUGAGAGAGAGGUCGCAGAGAAUAGGCCCAAGCAACUGUUUAUCAAAAACACAGGUCUCUGCUAAAUCGAAAGAUGAAGUAUAGGGGCUGACGCCUGCCCGGUGCUGGAAGGUUACGGGAAUUGCUUAGAGAAAUCGAAGGCAUGAACUUAAGCCCCAGUAAACGGCGGCCGUAACUAUAACGGUCCUAAGGUAGCGAAAUUCCUUGUCAGGUAAGUUCUGACCCGCACGAAUGGCGUAAUGACUUGGGCACUGUCUCAACAACGUACCCGGCGAAAUUGUAGUACUUGUGAAGAUGCAAGUUACCCGCGACUAGACGGAAAGACCCCAUGGAGCUUCACUGUAGCUUGAUAUUGGGUUUCGGUAUUUUUUGUACAGGAUAGGUGGGAGACUGAGAAUUGUUGGCGCCAGCCAAUAAGGAGUCGAUGUUGGGAUACCACUCUAAAAGUACUGGAACUCUAACCAUAGACCAUAAACUGGUUUUGGGACACUGUCAGGUGGGCAGUUUGACUGGGGCGGUCGCCUCCCAAAGAGUAACGGAGGCGUCCAAAGGUUACCUCAGCGCGGUUGGAAAUCGCGCAACGAGUGCAAAGGCAUAAGGUAGCCUGACUGCGAGAGAUACACCUCGAGCAGGUACGAAAGUAGGGCUUAGUGAUCCGGUGGUAUGAAAGUGGAAUUGCCAUCGCUCAACGGAUAAAAGCUACCCUGGGGAUAACAGGCUUAUCUCCCCCAAGAGUCCACAUCGACGGGGAGGUUUGGCACCUCGAUGUCGGCUCAUCGCAUCCUGGAGCUGUAGCAGGUUCCAAGGGUUUGGCUGUUCGCCAAUUAAAGCGGUACGCGAGCUGGGUUCAGAACGUCGUGAGACAGUUCGGUCCCUAUCUGUCGCGGGCGCAGGAUAUUUGAGAGGAUCUGUCCUUAGUACGAGAGGACCGGGA